CCUACGGGUGGCUGCAGUGAGGAAUAUUGGACAAUGGGUGAAAGCCUGAUCCAGCCAUCCCGCGUGAAGGAUGACGGCCCUAUGGGUUGUAAACUUCUUUUGUACAGGAAUAAACCUAGAUACGCGUAUCUAGCUGAAGGUACUGUACGAAUAAGCACCGGCUAACUCCGUGCCAGCAGCCGCGGUAAUACGGGGGGUGCAAGCGUUAUCCGGUUUUAUUGGGUUGAAAGGGUCCGUGUAAGUCAGUGGUGAAAUCUCGCAGCUUAACGGUGAAACUGCCAUUGAUACUGCAGGUCUUGAGUGAAUUUGAGGUAGCUGGAAUAAGUAGUGUAGCGGUGAAAUGCAUAGAUAUUACUUAGAACACCAAUUGCGAAGGCAGGUUACCAAGAUUCAACUGACGCUGAGGGACGAAAGCGUGGGGAGCGAACAGGAUUAGAUACCCGUGUAGUC
rnacentral:rRNA from 1 species